UACGUAGGGCGCAAGCGUUAUCCGGAAUUAUUGGGCGUAAAGAGCUCGUAGGCGGUUUGUCGCGUCUGCCGUGAAAGUCCGGGGCUCAACUCCGGAUCUGCGGUGGGUACGGGCAGACUAGAGUGAUGUAGGGGAGACUGGAAUUCCUGGUGUAGCGGUGAAAUGCGUAGAUAUCGGAAGGAACAUCAGUGGCGAAAGCGGCUUCCUGGACCAGCACCGACGUUCAGGCACGAAAGCGUGGGGAGCAAACAGG
rnacentral:rRNA from 1 species